rnacentral:rRNA from 1 species
AACAAACGCUGGCGGCGUGCCUAAUACAUGCAAGUCGAACGGGGAAAGCUUUCGGGUGAGUACUAGUGGCGCACGGGUGAGGAACGCGUGGAUAAUCUGCCUUAGAGUGGGGGAUAACUAGUCGAAAGAUUAGCUAAUACCGCAUAAGACCACAGGAGCUGCGGCUCAAGGGGUCAAAGGUUUUUCGCUCUAAGAUGAGUCCGCGUAAGAUUAGCUAGUUGGUGAGGUAACGGCUCACCAAGGCGACGAUCUUUAACUGGUCUGAGAGGAUGAUCAGUCACACUGGAACUGGGACACAGUCCAGACUCCUACGGGAGGCAGCAGUAGGGAAUAUUGCACAAUGGAGGAGACUCUGAUGCAGCGACGCCGCGUGAGUGAUGAAGGCCUUCGGGUCGUAAAGCUCUGUCGCAGGGGAAUAACACAAUGAAGGUACCCUGUAAGAAAGGAUCGGCUAACUUCGUGCCAGCCGCCGCGGUAAAAC